ACAUGCAAGUCGAGCGGUAGAGAGGUGCUUGCACCUCUUGAGAGCGGCGGACGGGUGAGUAAUAUCUAGGAAUCUGCCUGGUAGUGGGGGAUAACGUUCGGAAACGGACGCUAAUACCGCAUACGUCCUACGGGAGAAAGCAGGGGACCUUCGGGCCUUGCGCUAUCAGAUGAGCCUAGAUCGGAUUAGCUAGUUGGUGAGGUAAUGGCUCACCAAGGCUACGAUCCGUACUGGUCUGAGAGGAUGAUCAGUCACACUGGAACUGAGACACGGUCCAGACUCCUACGGGAGGCAGCAGUGGGGAAUAUUGGACAAUGGGCGAAAGCCUGAUCCAGCCAUGCCGCGUGUGUGAAGAAGGUCUUCGGAUUGUAAAGCACUUUAAGUUGGGAGGAAGGGCAGUUACCUAAUACGUGACUGUCUUGACGUUACCGACAGAAUAAGCACCGGCUAACUCUGUGCCAGCAGCCGCGGUAAUACAGAGGGUGAAGCGUUAAUCGGAAUUACUGGGCGUAAAGCGCGCGUAGGUGGUUUGUUAAGUUGAAUGUGAAAUCCCCGGGCUCAACCUGGGAACUGCAUCCAAAACUGGCAAGCUAGAGUAUGGUAGAAGGUAGUGGAAUUUCCUGUGUAGCGGUGAAAUGCGUAGAUAUAGGAAGGAACACCAGUGGCGAAGGCGACUACCUGGACUGAUACUGACACUGAGGUGCGAAAG
rnacentral:rRNA from 1 species